CUUGGGUGUGAACCCAGACUUAGGGUGCUUGUAACAUAAAGCUGUGCUCCAGAGUUGUUUGGGAUCCCUGUUCAGACACAGCAGUCAUGAUCUAAAUUGUGGAUGGUUUCAGUGUGCCUUGGCCAGGAUCUCAGAAAAGCUGAACGUGUGUGUGCUUCUCCGUUUAGGACCAGGAUUAAUACGGUGAACGCUCUAAUUUAGAUUCCAGGAACGAAGUUCAAGAAUCUACGCUUGCAGAGCCAGGAGGGCUAUUUGAGGCAAAAGUGAAAUUGAUUUUGGUUUAAAAGGGCUGUAAAAGAAGACAGGAGUAAAUAUGGAGAAAAAUAAUCUAAAAUUGAUUAGAAAGCAGCUAUUACCCAGCAGGCAGUAAACCACUGAAGAUAGGCCAUUGAAUAACCAUGAAAAGAAAAUGAGAAUGUUGUGGUAUAUACAAAUAAGAAUCGAACACGGUACUCCUGCAAUGAUAUUUUUUUUCUCCAAUCAGUGUGUCACUCCGACUGAAGAGUGUUUCAAGAUUAGAAACUGCUGUGAAAAACUAGAGAUGUGUGCCCUAGACCUUGGAAAAAACUUUGAAUCAGGAUUGGUAACUAUCAGGGGGAUUUAUACCAAAGUUUACCCUAGAAACUCAGCACUGGGGACAUACUCUGGGAGUGGACUACAAGCAGAACCUGUGGGUCAAAUUAAGUCACAGACACCAAACUGAAGGAAAAAAAGAUGGAUUUCAAACCUGAUGCUGGCAUAGAAAAGGACAAUCUGGCUGCACAUUCGCAAUAUCUGGAACAUGAAACUGUGGCAGUGGUUUUAAUUACACAGAUGGGACUUACUGAAUACACCAGUUUGGAGACCGUAGAGAGAUUCCCAAUGAAUGGCUGUAUCACAGACAUCGUUACUGUACAAAUUUCAACUACAUUUUUACAACCAUACAGUGAACUUUGCACACCUAGAGAUGUGCUCAGGGCAUUUUUACUUCCAGUUCUCUCUUCAGCCCAGACUUGAUGCUGUAUGUAAGGCAUAUCUAACAUGUUAAUGAGAAAAUAAAAUUAUACAUUCCACUCUGUCCUUGGGAAUUUAUAGAGGUUCUAUUACUCAGUAUACCUGUGAACUCCUUAGACUUAUGGAUUAGUUCCAAGUGAGUGAAAUAAUUAAUGUCUCACCAAGCUAUAUAUGGCACAAUUAAAUAUUUUAAGAGUAAGAGCCUAAGUGUUAGUUCAACCAUUCAAGUUGGUAUAAGUUCAGAUUUAGAAUAUCAUGUGCAAUCUUAAAUAUCAUUUACAAAAUUCUUGACGUGAAGUGCUUUUAGGAUAGUCCUUGUAACAGCUAGGACAUUAAGCUUAAUCUUGCACCCAGCUGUAAUAAUACCUAUGUUUCAAAUAAUUAUAUUAAUGUCAACUAUUGCAUUGAGAAAUGAGAAUUACUGUUUCUUUGAGAUAAAGGUUUAUGCAAACUCGUGCUUGUGAUACUGCCUCUCUACCCAAGGGGUGGGUAUGGCUCAGUGUUAGCUUGGACCCUGUCUGGUUAGACAGUCACCUAAGGGGCAGGAACCAGAAAUGGUCCAAAAGUCAAGGUUUUUUACAUGCCUCUUCAACAGACCUUCCCAUAACACUGCAGUGUAGUGCCUUAGAUGUUGUAAGUGGUCCACGUGAGCGUCUGUAACUUCUGUCUUCAGGAAAGUGAAUUCUCCAUCAGCACAAGUCAAGGACUGAACCUUUCUCAGACACUGGUGACCUCCAUGGCAUUCCUGCUGCUGCUUUAUAGAAAUGAGCCACAGGCACCUGCCAUAUGUCUCACUGCAUUGUAAUAAUUAAGCAUGAGUGUCACAAUCUUAAUGUGGGAUUAUAAACCUAUAUUCAUAACUGCUGUUUGUCUCCAAAAUCAGCAAUCUGGCUUGUGUCUGGAUCCAGCCCCUGCACCUCCCCUGUCCUGUGUGUGCCUAUAUUGGUCUUCUUCUGUCCAUGGAGUUAUGUCACGGAUGCUUCUAAAGCAGGGUGCUCUGCAGCUGGCACAAGCACUGUCUCACCAGAGCUCCUGCCCUACCAGGUGGAGGACAACAACUCCCAGGUGUCUGUCCCAGUGGAAGUGUGACUGACUAUAAACCCCAUAUCUCCAGCUGGAGUUUCACCACUCUUGUGAGCUCACAUGGAGUCACAAGCAAAUGUCCCAAACCUUUGAGAGUCACUGGUUUAGGCUGACUGGGUACCCUCUGGUGCUCCCCACUGCCUGUUGUAGGGAAAGACACAUUGGUCUCUCCUGCCCAAAAGAGGGGGUAGUUGUCUUGCAAAUCCUUCAGUCACCCCCAGCUACACCCCUCUGCCAUGGCCAUCACCUGCUUCACCACCUCUGGCUCCUCUUCCCUGGCUGUUCCCACUUCCAGGGCUCCCACCUCUCUGCCCAUGAAGCUCAAGGACUGAUGUAGCUCUCCCACAAGGACAAGUCACUGCUGGGGAGGUGCUGAAACAAUCAAACAUGGUGUCUCACAGUGCAGAGGAAGGAGUCAUUAACCCUCUACAAAAGCUUAAUAUUCCAUAAAUGGCACAUGGAGAAAGUGCAAUGGUAGCUGCUCUUGAAUCCCCAGUGAAGAAAAUCUCUGCCUGGUGCAACAAGCUGCUACCUGUGCAGGGGAUGGAGCAGCAGAAAAUUGCUAAACAUUUCAUGAAACCUGCUUUGUUGGGCUGCACUCUGGUGGGGGCUGCAGUUAUGUGACUGCACUGGGACUGCUGCUGGAAAUUGUGUUGAAAAGAUGUGGAAGCAUCCUCUGCUCAAACAGGUGAUGAAAUUCUUAUGAGUUCGGUGGGUCUUAACAUUCAUUUGUAGACAGCAGCAUCUGUAGGGAAGGAGAUGGGGUUUCAUGGGGUGAGUGAGUGGGAUGACUUGGAUUUUCACGAUUUCUGCUUUCAUGUAUGCCUACAGUGCUGUUCAUGUCAUAUGCAUAGUUUCUGUGGAAGCGACACAAUAUGCUGGGCUGCUGAAGAUACAGCUGCCAAAAAAAUGGUGCAACUGAUUUAGUAUGAAACUAGGUUUACAUGUGCACUUGGGCAACAGGUGAACAGUAAGAGGCAGGACCAUCAGGUCUUUAUUUUGUUUAAAAAUGGAGGUUUUCUGACUGGUGAUUAAACUAGUCAAGGACAUUCAGCUAAUACCCUGGUAGAACUUUGAAAAAUUCAGCUGACAGUUCUACUUCAGAAGCAAGGCAGUCAGGUACAAGAUACUCACUGAGGUGUGCUCCCACAAGGCAAAAAACAACAUGCAGACAGGGUGCAAGAUUGCAGUAGAGGCCAUAGGUGAUAACUGGGCUUGGGCUCAUAAAUCACAUGGCAGACUCUGAUAAUACCGAUGCUUUUACUGUGGAAUACUGAUUAGGGCCAAGUAAUAAGUGACAAUUUGGCUCUUUCAUAAUUUGCUUUUGAAACAAAGUUUUGUUGAAACAGAUUUUUCUCAUGUCCCUUCAAGUUU